AGAGUUUGAUCAUGGCUCAGAUUGAACGCUGGCGGCAUGCUUUACACAUGCAAGUCGAACGGCAGCAUGGGCUUCGGCCUGAUGGCGAGUGGCGAACGGGUGAGUAAUGCAUCGGAACGUGCCCAGUCGUGGGGGACAACUAGUCGAAAGAUUAGCUAAUACCGCAUACGACCUGAGGGUGAAAGUGGGGGAUCUUCGGACCUCACGCGAUUGGAGCGGCCGAUGUCAGAUUAGCUAGUUGGUGGGGUAAGAGCCUACCAAGGCGACGAUCUGUAGCGGGUCUGAGAGGAUGAUCCGCCACACUGGGACUGAGACACGGCCCAGACUCCUACGGGAGGCAGCAGUGGAGAAUUUUGGACAAUGGGGGCAACCCUGAUCCAGCCAUGCCGCGUGCGGGAAGAAGGCCUUCGGGUUGUAAACCGCUUUCGGACAGAAAGAAAUCGCACAGGUUAAUACCUUGUGUGGAUGACGGUACUGUAAGAAGAAGCACCGGCUAACUACGUGCCAGCAGCCGCGGUAAUACGUAGGGUGCGAGCGUUAAUCGGAAUUACUGGGCGUAAAGCGUGCGCAGGCGGAUUGUUAAGCAAGAUGUGAAAUCCCCGGGCUUAACCUGGGAAUGGCAUUUUGAACUGGCAGUCUAGAGUGCGUCAGAGGGGGGUGGAAUUCCACGUAGCAGUGAAAUGCGUAGAGAUGUGGAGGAACACCGAUGGCGAAGGCAGCCCCCUGGGAUGACACUGACGCUCAUGCACGAAAGCGUGGGGAGCAAACAGGAUUAGAUACCCUAGUAGUCC
rnacentral:rRNA from 1 species